UACGUAGGGACCAAGCGUUGUUCGGAUUUACUGGGCGUAAAGGGCGCGUAGGCGGCGUGGCAAGUCCCUUGUGAAAUCUCUGAGCUUAACUCAGAACGGCCAAGUGAAACUGUUGUGCUAGAGUGCAGAAGGGGCAAUCGGAAUUCUUGGUGUAGCAGUGAAAUGCGUAGAUAUCGUGAGGAACACCAGAGGCGAAGGCGGCUGCCUGGACAAUUGCUGACGCUCAGGCACGAAAGCGUGGGGAGCAAAAGGG
rnacentral:rRNA from 1 species